UACGGAGGAUGCGAGCGUUAUCCGGAUUUAUUGGGUUUAAAGGGUGCGUAGGCGGUCUGUUAAGUCAGCGGUAAAAUUGCGGGGCUCAACCCCGUCGAGCCGUUGAAACUGUGUGGCUGGAGACGGAGAGAAGUAGGCGGAAUGCGCGGUGUAGCGGUGAAAUGCAUAGAUAUCACGCAGAACUCCGAUUGCGAAGGCAGCAUACCGGCGCUCAACUGACGCUCAUGCACGAAAGCGUGGGUAUCGAA
rnacentral:rRNA from 1 species